UCAGUCCAGAGAUAGCUGAAUCGUAGUGGUGCUACCAGUUUACUUCCAUUUUUGUGGACCAUACACUGAGAAGCCAACCAGUCCGUGUCCAACUAAUUGGAAGCGGUGCCACCGGUCUACGUCCAGUCCAGUCCAUUCCUAGCAAGUGAAAGUUCCAAAAAUGAAGGUUUUCACUAUGGAAUGUUUGGUGUUCGUGUUUCUUGUCAUGUCCGUGACGACGGUCUUAUCUGCAGGCGGUCAUGGGGGCGGUGGUCAUGCAAUGAGCGGGGCCCAUGGAGUGGGCGGACAUGGAGGUGGCGGUCAAGGAGGCGGACAGAGAGAUGGGGAUAUACCUGAAGCAGAAGGUCCUGAUGUUGACGAAGACUAAUCCCGGUGCUGAAUGUACAGACAGGUGACCUUCACCAAUUGACGAAGACUAAUACCGGUGCUGAAUGUACAGACAAGUGACCUUCACCAAGUUAUAAAGUACACUGAAAGACGAACAUAUAGAAGACAAAAAGGAGAGACGUUUCUUUGUUGCUCAGUAUAUUUUACAUUCCACAUUUCAGUUGUGUCUUUGUUACUCAGUUACCUAGUUCAUGUUUCAGUGUGUCCUAUAUAUAUAUAUACCAGUACCCUUUGAGAUAUCCUAAAGAAGUAUUUUAUAAACUUUCAUUUUAAUGAAAAGAAAAAUACCCAUAUUUAAACGAACAUUAUUAUAAAAGAUACAUUUUAAUUCUCGAAACCUACCUGUUUUGGCAAGUUGGAAGGAAAACCGGUUUCCAAGAUUAAUGACUUCAUGCAAAUUUUGGGCUUUAUUCCUUCUUUAUUUUUAUUUUAUAUUAUUAGUUAAAGAUUUAGAUCUUUAGAAAACUAAUGUACAAAAUCAGAAGAAAAGUCGACUGUAAUAACGGUGUUUCUUUUUCCAUUCAUUUUAAUCUUCGUCAUAUCUUAGCAUAAUAUGAUUAUUUAUUAGCAGUUCAAAUAGCAUGCAUGUUACACAGCUUGACGUUACUAUUAUCCUGUGCAUUGUAUACAAACAUUUCCUUCUAGAUGUCACUUUCGUAAACUAACUGAUUAGAAUAAACAACGUUCCGUGA